UUUGAAUCCUGUUAACUCAAUCCAGGCAGUGACAUUAAAAAUAUAGCUUUCAAGAAAUCUUGUACAAUCUUGAAAACUUGUACAAAUAUAAUAUAGAAGGAGGGAAACACCUCUGUCACUGUUGUUUGUUUUCACACGGUUAGACUAGGUUAUAAGCUAAUACAGCAGCAGGGGUGUCAACCAGGAGAACUGAGGGUGAAACUGAAGUUGAUAUAUGCAGACGUGAACCCCUAAGACGGACACAACACCUGCCUGGUAGCUCUGAGCUCAGCACCUCCCUGGCACUAACUGCCUCAGACAGCCCCAGACAGAGGAAAGUCCUGGGUAACUGCUCUACUGGCAGUGCUGAUGUCAAUGAGAGCAGUGACUAAUCGAACAUCUGAGCUUUCUCCAUUUGAAAUGUUGACAGGACGACCUAUGAGAACAUCGGGUGACCUUUGUGUAAUGGGAGGGUAGUGGCAUAUGAUGGGUAAAUUGUUAAAAUAUUGCAAAGCUUGUCUCUCUAGGUCCAACUGGGAAGGUGAUUUCAAAGCUGAAGCUGCCAAGGUGCCAUGCUAAUGGUUGUAGCUUACUUUAGAGCAGAUAAACAUACUCUUUAAUCCAUUCCUUACAUGUUUUUUUUAUUUUGGACACCUGUCAAACUCUGCAGAUUAUCACUUUUACUACAGCCCAAUCCACACUUGGAGCAACUGCUGUUUUGGAAGAGGUUUAGUAAACAGUCAAUUCUUAUAUCAUACUGUGCAUGUUAACUGCUGGGCAGCAGCAGACAUACUGUAUACAGCAGUGAGGUGAUUUCAGUUGGACAGCACCACAUUUAGGAUACUCUGGAAAAGCGUUUGAGCUUUUGUGGUAAUGUUCAGUUUUUGUGCAUAUUUGAAUCCAAGCUUACAGUCACUGCCUGUUGUCAGGCUGGCAGAAAGUGACCCCACAUGGGGCAGUACGUCUGGACACCGUCCCUGACAGGAGCAUGACAGUUGGCAUUUCUGUGGUCCUGUAAUUGCUCCUUCAGAGGUACUGUGGGAGUCGUCUCUGCUCUCCAGGAUGAAAGCAGCACACUGCUGAGUGCAUUUAUGGAAAAGCUUACGCUUCAUUCACACUGAGCAAGAAAUCAUACACAUGCGGGAUUAUAUAUACGCCUUGGGGAGAUAUGAAUUAUUCAUUGUGAGAUGCAAGAUUUGUUGGACACCCAGCUCAUUUCAAGCAUACAUUCAUCAUAAAAGACCAAAUGUGCAAACUUUGAACUUAUAUUUGGCAGAGCAAGAAUCCUCCAACGACAAAGACAAUCUUGUUCAUUUUUUUAUUGUUUUUCAUUUUAUUGUUUACCUCUACUGAGGGCAGCAGAAAAAAUGCAGCUAAGAACUAAUGAAGCUUUCUGUAAUUAGAGGUUUGAGACUAUUAUUGGUACUUUGACAUUCCAAAGAUGUUAUUUGUUAUU